AUACGGAGGAUGCGAGCGUUAUCCGGAUUUAUUGGGUUUAAAGGGUGCGUAGGCUGUGCGUUAAGUCAGGGGUGAAAUGCCGUCGCUCAACGACGGAGCUGCCCUUGAUACUGGCGUGCUGGAGUACGGGUGACGUUGGAGGCAUGAGUGGUGGAGCGGUGAAAUGCUUAGAUAUCACUCAGAACACCGAUUGCGAAGGCAUCUGACGAAUCCGUCGCUGACGCUGAGGCACGAAAGCGUGGGGAUAGAACAGGAUUAGAUACCCUGGUAUUCCACGCCGUAAACGAUGAUGACUAACCGUCGGCGAUAGACAGCCGGUGGCCAAGCGAAAGCGAUAAGUCAUCCACCUGGGGAGUACGUCGGCAACGAUGAAACUCAAAUGAAUUGACGGGG
rnacentral:rRNA from 1 species